ensembl:snRNA U4 U4 spliceosomal RNA
AGCUUUGCGCAGUGGCAGUGUCGUAGCCAAUGAGGCUUAUCCGAGGCGCGAUUAUUGCUAAUUGAAAACUUUUCCCAUUUCCGCGCAGCGACCAGCCGGCCCUUCUGGGGUCCAGCCCCAGCCUGUGAAGUUCUGCUGACCCAGCACUGGA